rnacentral:rRNA from 1 species
CACGUAGGGUGCGAGCGUUGUCCGGAAUUAUUGGGCGUAAAGAGCUCGUAGGCGGUCUGUCGCGUCGGCUGUGAAAUCCCGAGGCUCAACCUCGGGUCUGCAGUCGAUACGGGCAAACUUGAGUGUUGCAGGGGAGACUGGAAUUCCUGGUGUAGCGGUGAAAUGCGCAGAUAUCAGGAGGAACACCGGUGGCGAAGGCGGGUCUCUGGGCAACAACUGACGCUGAGGAGCGAAAGCGUGGGGAGCGAACAGG